rnacentral:misc_RNA from 1 species
UCUCCGUAGGUGAACCUGCGGAGGGAUCAUUACCGAGCUCAUGCCCCUACGGGUAGAUCUCCCACCCUGUGUUAUUAUUACCCUUGUUGCUUUGGCGGGCCGCCAGGCUCCGGUCAGGCUAUCGGCUUCGGCUGGUAAGCGCCCGCCAGAGGACCCUAUAUCCUGAUUAUUAGUGUCGUCUGAGUACUAUAUAAUAGUUAAAACUUUCAACAACGGAUCUCUUGGCUCUC